GUGACAAAGUCACAAAAGUGAUAAACUCUCCUUUCCACUUUCUAAUGUUUCUUGCUUAAAUGAGUAUUCCAUGUAAAAAUGAUUCACUCACUCGUAUGGGUGGGUUGGGUUUUCUCUUCAUGAGAUGCUCAUUUGAGCAAGCAAUGUUUGGAAGUGGGACUAUUUAAUAUCAUGUAUGAGUUUUAUCUUUU